GCAACAGGAAAAAACCUUUGUAUUAAAAUAAUGAUAAUAUUGAGACACUGGGAAGGAAAAAGGAAAUUCAGAAGAUCAAAGGCUGAACCUUACCCUGAGUCUUAAACUGAACUGGAAAGAAAAGGAAUGAAAAUUAGAUUCACUUGGUCAGACCCUUUAAACUGUGCUUGUGACUUUAAAAAGCAAAGUAUGUGCCAAACAAAUAGCAGCAUCAAACUUGUGAAUCUCUGAAGUUGGCAAGUGCAUCUUGAGCUGGAAUGAAUCAUGCUGACGGCAAACGGGAACGAAACGGCAUUCGGCGAACUCUGCUUGUACCGGCGAUACCAGAGACAAAGCAGCAAAACUCGGGUUGUCUCCCGGACUCGGUUCCGCAGCUGCACUUCGGAGGGAGCUGCGCAGUCUAGGCGGCACAAGAGCCUUUCGCUGUAAUUCAUCAUUGCUCAGCUCUACCUGCUCCCUGUUGAGGAAAUACAGGUUCAGCCAGCCAGAAGAGGAAGGAUCAGGUACUGUGACUUGCUUCCCUCCUGCCUGUCGCCUUUGCUUUUCCACCAAAUGGGGAGAAAACUCUUCUUUCUUCAGUGACCCGAUUCUGGGAUGAUGUCAUGUAACCCUCAGCCCCUUCCCUGCUCUCAUGAUUUAUGCACGAAAACCUCCCUGGGCUUGUCCCCAGGAACCGGCUGGCUGGAUGAGUGCUGAAAUGCUGUUAUGUUAAAGGGCUCAUUUCCAAACGUAGCAGGCGACGGAGAUACCAAAUUGUUUACUAUGCAUGAAAACGGUUCAGAGCCUUGUUUCUAGCGUGUCUACCCUGAGCAAGUUUGUCAAGGGUACAUUUGCGCGUACGGGGUUUUUUGCCUCAACGCUGUGCUAUUUUUUAACAGAAAUUUUUCAGAUAGACUUUUUAAAAUGCACCCUGUAAUGUAUUUUUACCUUCCCCUGUCUCUGCACUGAAGCUGGUGAUCCGCUGCGUUAUUGAAACAUCCUGCCCGGAGCAGUGGCCUGCUGUCAAGAGCCUGCGGACGGCAGGUAGCAGGACCGACCCGUUAGGCAGCGCUGCAGAACACCUUCCCAUUAACGUUGAAUCAUUUACGGCAGCCUUGCCGUCUCGCAAGGUUGGUGCUUACAGUGUCCCUGUCCUUACUAGGGCCAUUAGCAGGAGGUCCUGCGCUACUCGACAUUAUCCUCCUCCGCAGCCAUUAGGGCUGCAGCGUUGUUUGUGCGCGCGGUCAUGAUCGCAGGGCUUCUGGUGGGCUCCAGUCUGAGGGAUCGUCUACUUCUGCGCUGAAAUCUCUCUGCUGGUGAAUGAGGAGCCAGCUCUGCUCAUCUGCCUGUCAUUUCAUCCGCAGGCCUGGACCUUUCUUUCUGUUCUUUACACUCUGUUCUCUUAAGGAAGUAAAUGAUCGUUACUGGUAAUACCAGCAAUGCUUUCAUCAGGUGCCCCAGUGCACUCAAUAAGAGCUGGCUCUUGCAAGUGUGAGGAACUGAGGCACACAGAAAUUAGGGAUGAGAUUUUCAAUCCCACGGAAGGGAUUUGGAUGCCCAGCAUCCAUUAAAAUGAGUAAGAAUUCAUGGACCGCCCUACAUGGCCGUAGCCCAAUUUGCUACAUGAGACUGAAACCAUCCUGGUUAACGCAGGGACACUUAAGCCCUCAGCAUCUGACUUCACUUAUAUUUUAUUUCCAGAAAACUUAGUUGCUAAUGUCCAAUGAAACACUUCUGCACCCCCCUGCACCCAUUACCCUGCCUCUGACAGCUCCUCGGGUCGCUGCUUGCCAGCUCUGCUAUCAGGGGACGGUGAUGAAGGUAGCUAAUUUGUUUGCAAGUUGGUGAAUGAUGUAAAAGGUUCCUCGUCCAUCAUCAUAAAGGCUCUCGAGAAAAAGAGACAAAUGGUUGUUCCUUUCACUUUGCCUGCACUAUAUGGGGACAUGUGAAAUGGAGGGAAAGUGCAGCAGGCCCAGAUGCACCACGGGAUGCACACAAAUCACAGCGGUGGCUAGUUGGAUCCAGAAAGCUAAUUGGUCCCUCAUGGCUAGCCAGUGUUACGCAGGAGGUCAUGGUGCCGGUACUGCGAGGGACGUGGGGCUCAGCCUGUUGCGCGUGGGCACGUCCGUGGGUCCGGAGCUGCCCGAGCGGCCUGGGCUGCUUCGACUUUCGCUGGCUUGAACUAAACCUCCCACGAUGUCUGCCAACUGCGCCUCCACCGCAGAAUAACACUGGGCAAGUGUCUCCACCGCAGAGUGUUGAGGGACGCCCCUUAAACCGCCAGCAAUAAGGACGUUUCCCAUGACCCCUUCUGUCCCAAAGUGCUGCCCUGGUGUGGCAACCUGCU